rnacentral:rRNA from 1 species
GACGAACGCUGGCGGCGUGCUUAACACAUGCAAGUCGAACGAAGUGGCGAACGGGUUAGUAACGCGUAAUCAACCUGCCCUUCAGAGGGGGACAACAGUUGGAAACGACUGCUAAUACCGCAUACUGAUUGAGGGGUUUGCGUCUGAUUAGCUAGUAGGAGGGGUAACGGCCCACCAAGGCGAUGAUCAGUAGCCGGUCUGAGAGGAUGAACGGCCACAUUGGAACUGAGACACGGCCCAGACUCCUACGGGAGGCAGCAGUGGGGAAGAUUCCGCAAUGGGCGAAAGUCUGACGGAGCCACGCCGCGUGGAUGAUGAAGGCCUUCGGGUUGUAAAGCUCUGUUAAUCGGGACGCUGAACCGGAAUAGAAAGCCACGGCUAAUUACGUGCAAGCAGCCGGGUAAUAC